AAUCAACGCUGGCGGCGUGCCUCAGACAUGCAAGUCGAACGAUUAAAGCUCUCUUCGGAGAGUGUAUAGAGUGGCGCACGGGUGAGUAACACGUAAGUAAUCUACCUUCGAGUGGGGAAUACCGUCCGGAAACGGACGCUAAUACCGCAUAAUGCAUUAGCAUCGCAAGAUGCCAUUGUUAAAGAUUUAUCGCUUGAAGAGGAGCUUGCGGCAGAUUAGCUAGUUGGUAAGGUAACGGCUUACCAAGGCUACGAUCUGUAACCGGUCUUAGAGGACGGUCGGUCACACUGACACUGAAUAACGGGUCAGACUCCUACGGGAGGCAGCAGUCGGGAAUUUUGGGCAAUGGGCGAAAGCCUGACCCAGCAACGCCGCGUGAAGGAUGAAGUAUUUCGGUAUGUAAACUUCGAAAGAAUGGGAAGAAUCAAUGACGGUACCAUUUAUAAGGUCCGG
rnacentral:rRNA from 1 species